AAGGCCUUGCACUUUUGGAGCGGCCGAUGUCUGAUUAGCUAGUUGGUGGGGUAAUGGCCUACCAAAGCUUCGAUCAGUAGCUGGUCUGAGAGGACGGCCAGCCACACUGGGACUGAGACACGGCCCAGACUCCUACGGGAGGCAGCAGUGGGGAAUUUUGGACAAUGGGCGCAAGCCUGAUCCAGCCAUGCCGCGUGAGUGAAGAAGGCCUUCGGGUUGUAAAGCUCUUUCAGUCGGGAAGAAAAGGUUGCGACUAAUAAUCGCAAUUCAUGACGGUACCGGAAGAAGAAGCACCGGCUAACUACGUGCCAGCAGCCGCGGUAAUACGUAGGGUGCGAGCGUUAAUCGGAAUUACUGGGCGUAAAGGGUGCGCAGGCGGUUUUGUAAGUCAGAUGUGAAAUCCCCGGGCUUAACCUGGGAACU
rnacentral:rRNA from 1 species